GUUUUCAAAUUAGGACAAGACAGAGGGGAAAGAAGUUGAAAGUCUGGACAUCACUGAAAGGAGGUGAAGAGAAAGCAGUGGCAUGUGAAGAGAAUUGUGGAGCAGGGAGGAAUAUCCAGAACUCACUGCUUAACGUGCAGCCCCACCCGUGUGCCUUUUUCUUGGGAGGGGGAAGUGGAGGAAGAAAGUGUCAGAAGGCUUAACUCACUUAGGAAAGACUGCUUGUAUAGAUUUGACACUAAGGUCAGAGCUCUCACUGAAUGCAGAAAUUCAAGACACUGGUCACAUGAACUGACCUGCACCACUGCCAACAGUAAUUUGGACCCUUCUCUUCCCCAGCACACUAUCAUUUAAGUUACUCGCACUACCUCCCUCCUGCCCUGUGGAAACUGAGUUCCCCUGCUGCUCUGGAAUGAUGAGGAAGGAUGGAUUUGGGAACCUCCUGAGCUGAGAGCUGCAUGGAAGGAGGAUGAAGAGUAUGGCAGGUGAAAGCUCCUGCAUGCCCUGUGAUGCAAUGGGAUGAUGCAAGGACUGUUUCAGUUUAAACAGAUGUCCUCUUCUGCAUUCCCAGAAGGAGCUGCAGAGGGACAGAAAUGUUUCAGUGGAGUUUGGUUUUUGGCCACGUUGCAGAAGGGUAACCAGGAAAAGCCUCACGCUCUACCUCAGAGGAGUCAUUUUUCAUUCUUAAGCAAUUAAGGUCACUUCAGCAGUGACUUGUUCUGACAGAGUCUUAAAACUUGUACAUAAAGUUAGGAAAAAUGGAAUUAAAAUGCUGAUUGCUUUGGAUUUACACUGACUGACACUUGAGGUAAUGAUCAGUCUCUUUAUAAACAGUGGUAUAUUAAUCUAAUUAUGAGAGGAUUUAGUGCCAAGCAUUUUGCCCCAUGGUUAAAUUCUUGAGAUGCGGAUGAGAUGGUUGGCAGUGAAAUUCUUUGCAGUAAAGCUUGCCAUCUACUGGCACAUCAUCCCUACUACCAGAAACAUGGCCACGCUUGCAGCUAUUACAGAACUGGCACAAAUAACCUCAUAUAAGAAAUGCCAAGAAAAAGACAGUUUUAGCUUUGUUUUUUUGCUCCUGAAUAAGAUUAUUUAAAUUCAUUGAAGUGAUCUUGUUAGUGUAUGAAUAAUUGAGCUUAUAUAGCUAAUCACCACUAAAAGUUCAUGGUUUUGGCUGGUAAAGGUUUCUGAAUGAUCAGAAACUACUGUAGUGAUACAAAACAAUUUUUAUGAUGUUAGAAAUGCAUGGCAAUGAGGCUAGAAGGCCAAAAUUGAAUUAGGGAAAAGUUAUCAUAAACAGGGCAGGGAUUUUGAA